rnacentral:rRNA from 1 species
AUACGGAAGGUCCGGGCGUUAUCCGGAUUUAUUGGGUUUAAAGGGAGCGCAGGCGGAGAUGCAAGCGUGACGUCAAAUUUCGGGGCUCAACCCCGUCUCGCGUCGCGAACUGCGUCCCUUGGUUGCGGGAAGGGGAGGCGGAACUCGUGGUGGAGCGGGGAAAUGCAUAGAUAUCACGAAGAACUCCGAUCGCGAAGGCAGCCUUCCGGCCCGUCAACGACGCUCAUGCUCGAAGGUGCGGGUAUCAAACAGGAUUAGAUACCCUGGUAGUCCGCACAGUAAACGAUGGACACCCGCGGUUUGGCCUAUAUGGCUGAGCCGCCAAGCGAAAGCGUUAAGUGUCCCACCUGGGGAGUACGCCGGCAACGGUGAAACUCAAAUGAAUUGGCGGGG